rnacentral:rRNA from 1 species
GGGUGCAGCAGGCGCGAAAACUUUACAAUGCUGGCAACAGCGAUAAGGGGACCUCGAGUGCCAGGAUACAAUCUUGGCUGUCGCGAUGCCUAAAAAGCAUUGCAUAGCAAGGGCCGGGCAAGACCGGUGCCAGCCGCCGCGGUAGCACCGGCGGCUCGAGUGGUAACCGCUAUUAUUGGGUCUAAAGGGUCUGUAGCCGGCCGGAUAAGUCUUUUGGGAAAUCCAGCUGCUCAACAGUUGGGCUUUCAGAAGAUACUGUUCGGCUCGAGACCGGGAGAGGUGAGAGGUACUUCAGGGGUAGGGGUGAAAUCUUGUAAUCCUUGAAGGACCACCAGUGGCGAAGGCGUCUCACCAGAACGGAUCUGACGGCAAGGGACGAAAGCUAGGGGCACGAACCGGAUUAGAUACCCGGGUAGUCCUAGCCGUAAACGAUACUCGCUAGGUGUCGGCCACGGUGCGACCGUGGUCGGUGCCGUAGGGAAGCCGUGAAGCGAGCCACCUGGGAAGUACGGCCGCAAGGCUGAAACUUAAAGGAAUUGGC